AAGCGUAUUAUAGCGCACGCUAACAUGACCGUGCCAAUAAUAAAAUUCUUUUUUUGCUAGUUAAUCGACGAUACAGUCCGAUUACUUGACGUGUAUCAGUCGGUAUUGCAUAAACUUCCCGUACUGGCAAAUAGUUUGAAGGAAUUCGACGAUCCGGUCAUUACGUCACGUUUAUCGUCGUGACGAAGCUUCUACACACGCAGCGGAUGGGAAAAGGCGGAUACCAUUUCGAAAAGCACGAUGGUGAACGGGGCUGGCAUUUUGCCUUCGACGGAGUUCGAUUUCCAUAUGUGCACCAGCAACCAUCGCAUUACUUCCAGUGCGACGGUAACCGCUUUGACUCGGACGAGAUCCAUUGUAGGCCCGGCAGGUCAUGUUGAAUUUGAUCCAGUGCAUUCUGCAACAAAAUUACGUUCCGUAGAAUGGAGAAAACAAAAAAUAAAUCUAACAGAAAAUUUAACGGAAAUCAACAUUCAUCGCAAAUCAAACGUAGAUUGGAUCGAGUCACUAUUGAUGCGUCGCAGCAUCAGCCGUACAAAUUCGACAAUUAUUCGAAUCUGUUCCCGCACGGCAAAUAUAUGUUAUGUCGCUGAUGAACCUGAAUUCGGUUGCGCUGACGCUGUCGCCUUCUUCGACCUGCUGAAAAACCUGCAAUAAGGUAGCAAACAUCAAGGCGAGGAGUCAGCUCCAACCGAAUUCUUCAACGGGCUGGAGUAAAAACGACACGAUGGUGAAGGGUUCUGUCACGUUUUGUGCAAAUUCGUAUCGUACAUGGUGUUUAAGGCACUGAAAAGAUACAACCUGUUGAACAGGUUUCCCGCAAUGGUCAAAUCGAGCCAAAGAAAAUAUUUAUCUAUCUGGCCUUUGGUCCAGUUGUUGCUGGACGGGAGUAACGCAUCUGUUGGUCCUGGUUGGAUAACAGUCUGGUACGACCACUGGUGAGUGACGACACAGAACAUCCGCAACAAUCCGAUGUACGCCCUGCGCCAAUCGGCGACAAGCAGUUUUACGAAUCGAAAUUUAGACCGAACAACGUAUAACUGUAUUGCAUAAACUUCCCGCACCAGCAACUAGUUUGAAGGAAUUCGACGAUCCGGUCAUUACGUCACGUUUAUCGUCGUGAUGAAGCUUCUACAUACGCAGUGGAUGGGAAAAGGCGGAUAUCAAUUCGAAAAGCACGAUGGUGAACGGGGCUGGCAUUUUGCCCUCGACGGAGUUCGAUUUCCAUAUGUGCACCAGCAACCAUAGCAUUACUUCCAGUGCGACGGUAACUGCUUUGACUCGGAUGAGAUCCAUUGUAGCCCCGACAGGUCAUGUUGAAUUUGAUCCAGUGCAUUCUGCAACAAAAUUACGUUCCGUAGAAUGGAGAAAACAAAAAACAAAUCUAACAGAAAAUUUAACGGAAAUCAACAUUCAUCGCAAAUCAAACGUAGAUUGGAUCGAGUCACUAUUGAUGCGUCGCAGCAUCAGCCGUACAAAUUCGACAAUUAUUCGAAUCUGUUCC